rnacentral:rRNA from 1 species
AGAGUUUGAUCCUGGCUCAGGAUGAACGCUGACAGAAUGCUUAACACAUGCAAGUCUACUUGAAUUCUCUUCGGAGAUAGUAAGGUGGCGGACGGGUGAGUAACACGUAAAGAACUUGCCCUGCAGUCUGGGACAACUAUUGGAAACGAUAGCUAAUACCGGAUAUUAUGCGAGAGUCGCAUGGCUCUUUCAUGAAAGCUAUAUGCGCUGCAGGAGAGCUUUGCGUCCCAUUAGUUAGUUGGUGAGGUAACGGCUCACCAAGACCGCGAUGGGUAGCCGGCCUGAGAGGGUGAACGGCCACAAGGGGACUGAGACACGGCCCUUACUCCUACGGGAGGCAGCAGUGGGGAAUAUUGGACAAUGGACCAAAAGUCUGAUCCAGCAAUUCUGUGUGCACGAUGACGGUCUUAGGAUUGUAAAGUGCUUUCAAUCGGGAAAAAGAAAGUGAUGGUACCGAUAGAAGAAGCGACGGCUAAAUACGUGCCAGCAGCCGCGGUAAUACGUAUGUCGCAAGCGUUAUCCGGAUUUAUUGGGCGUAAAGCGCGUCUAGGCGGUUUGGUAAGUCUGAUGUGGAAAUGCGGGGCUCAACUCCGUAUUGCGUUGGAAACUGCCAGACUAGAGUACUGGAGAGGUGGGCGGAACUACAAGUGUAGAGGUGAAAUUCGUAGAUAUUUGUAGGAAUGCCGAUAGAGAAGUCAGCUCACUGGACAGAUACUGACACUGAAGCGCGAAAGCAUGGGGAGCAAACAGGAUUAGAUACCCUGGUAGUCCAUGCCGUAAACGAUGAUUACUAAGCGUCGGGGGUCGAACCUCGGCACUCAAGCUAACGCGAUAAGUAAUCCGCCUGGGGAGUACGUACGCAAGUAUGAAACUCAAAGGAAUUGACGGGGACCCGCACAAGUGGUGGAGCAUGUGGUUUAAUUCGACGCAACGCGAGGAACCUUACCAGCGUUUGACAUCCUAAGAAAGUGAAAGAGAUUUCGCUGUGCUCCUUCGGGAGAACUUAGAGACAGGUGGUGCAUGGCUGUCGUCAGCUCGUGUCGUGAGAUGUUGGGUUAAGUCCC